UACGAAGGGGGCUAGCGUUGUUCGGAAUUACUGGGCGUAAAGCGCACGUAGGCGGCUUUGUAAGUAAGAGGUGAAAGCCUGGUGCUCAACACCAGAACUGCCUUUUAGACUGCAUCGCUUGAAUCAUGGAGAGGUGAGUGGAAUUCCGAGUGUAGAGGUGAAAUUCGUAGAUAUUCGGAAGAACACCAGUGGCGAAGGACG
rnacentral:rRNA from 1 species